UCUGGCAAAUUAGAACUAAGGUCGUAUGUAUAUACAUUAAAAAGUAAGGGGCUUAACACAGAGCCCUGUGGUAGUCCUUUCCAAACUGUCCUGUAUAAUACUUUAUCAUCUAAAUCUAACUUGAUCGACCGUUCAUAAAACAUAGCAGCAAUAAUAUUGCAUAAGCGUUCAGGCACUCCCAAGAGGAACAAUUUAUUUACAAGAAUUGAUAUAUUUACAUUAUCGUAGGCAGAAUUGAUAUCUAUAAAACAAGCUACUACAUAUUCGCGUUUUGAAAAGGCUAAAAGAAUAUCAGAAACUAAUAAACUAACACAGUCUAAUGUGCUUCUACUUUUGCGAAAACCAUAUUGAAUAUCAGGUAAUAAUUUCUUACUUUCAAUAAACCACUCCAACCUAUUUUUAACUAAAUGUUCUAAAAUCUUAAUUAAAACGGAAGAUAACGCAAUUGGACGAUAAGAGUUUGGAUCAUUACGGGGUUUAUUCGGUUUGAGAAAGGGUAACACUAACUGUAUUUUCCAAUUUGGUGGAAUGUCGCCUGUCAAAAAUAUUGAGUUGAUAAUAUUAAGAAAGUAACCUAGAAUAUUGUCACUAGAAUGGGUCAAAAAGGAAUAUGGAAUACCGUCGCAUCCUGGUGCAGAAUCCUUCACAUAAGAUAGCACAUUCUUUAGUUCCGACAUUGAGAACGGACUGUUAAAACGCUGCAAGUUAUCGUUAUCAGUAUUAGACGAGGGAGACGGUUCCAGACACACGGGAAAUGGGGCAAAUGGAGGAGCUAGUCUAUCUAAAAAAAAUUCAGCUACUGCAUGAUCAAGUUUGAUGCCACUAUUUUCUACAAAAGCUCCUCUAAACAUUCUAACUUUCCUCCAAACUUCUGACGGCUUCUGAACAUUCGGAAUCCCACCAUGGAGGACUGGGAAUGUUAAAUUUAGAGGGCUUCUUACGUGGAAAUACUUCAUCAGCUACAUUAAUUAUAAAUUUAGCAAAAGCAUCAGAAGAUUUGAACAAAUGUUGCCGAGAUACAUUGGGCAAUUCUCCCAACCUCUCAUCCAUAUGUUUGCGAAACUUAUCCCAAUCUGCAUUUUGAAGUUUAUAUGCCAACAGUGGAGAUCUUUUAAGUAAUGGUUUGUUUUUGAAAGGAAAAGAUAUGACAAUUGGAAAAUGAUCACUACCAUAGGAGAGUGGAAGUACCUCCCACAGUAAAGAGUGUGCAAUGGAAGAGCUACAAAUGGAUAAAUCUAAGGCACUAGGAUUCUCAUUGGGAGCAGACCGACGAGUAGGAACACCAGUAUUCAAUAUGCAUAAAUUAUAAUAAUCA